ACGGGACCCGCACAAGCGGUGGAUGAUGUGGAUUAAUUCGAUGCAACGCGAAAACCUUACCUACCCUUGACAUGUCUGGAACCUUGCUGAGAGGCGAGGGUGCCUUCGGGAGCCAGAACACAGGUGCUGCAUGGCUGUCGUCAGCUCGUGUCGUGAGAUGUUGGGUUAAGUCCCGCAACGAGCGCAACCCUUGUCAUUAGUUGCCAUCAUUUAGUUGGGCACUCUAAUGAGACUGCCGGUGACAAACCGGAGGAAGGUGGGGAUGACGUCAAGUCCUCAUGGCCCUUAUGGGUAGGGCUUCACACGUCAUACAAUGGUCGGUACAGAGGGUUGCCAAGCCGCGAGGUGGAGCCAAUCCCUUAAAGCCGAUCGUAGUCCGGAUCGUAGUCUGCAACUCGACUACGUGAAGUCGGAAUCGCCAGUAAUCGCAGAUCAGCAUGCUGCGGUGAAUACGUUCCCGGGUCUU
rnacentral:rRNA from 1 species